CGUUCUGUAAGCCUGCGAAGGUGUGCUGUGAGGCAUGCUGGAGGUAUCAGAAGUGCGAAUGCUGACAUAAGUAACGAUAAAGCGGGUGAAAAGCCCGCUCGCCGGAAGACCAAGGGUUCCUGUCCAACGUUAAUCGGGGCAGGGUGAGUCGACCCCUAAGGCGAGGCCGAAAGGCGUAGUCGAUGGGAAACAGGUUAAUAUUCCUGUACUUGGUGUUACUGCGAAGGGGGGACGGAGAAGGCUAUGUUGGCCGGGCGACGGUUGUCCCGGUUUAAGCGUGUAGGCUGGUUUUCCAGGCAAAUCCGGAAAAUCAAGGCUGAGGCGUGAUGACGAGGCACUACGGUGCUGAAGCAACAAAUGCCCUGCUUCCAGGAAAAGCCUCUAAGCAUCAGGUAACAUCAAAUCGUACCCCAAACCGACACAGGUGGUCAGGUAGAGAAUACCAAGGCGCUUGAGAGAACUCGGGUGAAGGAACUAGGCAAAAUGGUGCCGUAACUUCGGGAGAAGGCACGCUGAUAUGUAGGUGAAGU
rnacentral:rRNA from 1 species